CAAUGGCGUAUAUUAAAGUUGUUGCAGUUAAAAAGCUCGUAGUUGGAUUUCUGGCGGGAGCGACCGGUCGGCCCAAGUGGUGUGUACUAGUGUUGCGUCCGGCCAUAUUUGCGGAGAGCGCGUGUGGCAUUAAUUUGUCGUGCGCGGGACCCGCAUCGUUUACUGUGAGAAAAUUAGAGUGUUCAAAGCAGGCUUAUGCCUUGGAUAUGUUAGCAUGGAAUAAUAAGAUAAGACUUUGGCGGUCUAUUUUGUUGGUUUGCACGCCAUUGUAAUGAUUGAUAGGGACAGUUGGGGGUAUUCAUAUUUAAUUGUCAGAGGUGAAAUUCUUGGAUUUAUGAAAGAUGAACUACUGCGAAAGCAUUUACCAAGGAUGUUUUCAUUAA
rnacentral:rRNA from 1 species